AUCCACAGCUCUAACGUGUUGGUGGGUACGUACCAUGAGCUCAGAAAUUGUGGUUGAUUUAAUAAAUGAAAAAUCAAAUCCUGGUACAACUUGGAAUUGCUCCGGUCCCCUGGGUCAAUAUGACAUGUCCCCUCCUACAUGAAGUCUUUCCCAGUUUUGUUCUGUAUUUUUUUUAAUGAUAUUUGCCUGCUAUCGUAGCUCUCUUGCACUAUAUGUAGCUUUCCACGAGUGCAGCGUUUGUGACUUCUCAGCCUGUGGAGAGCAUAGUUCCAUGCCUUGUGUGUGCCUGGCCCAGAUCCAUGUUAAACUGGCUUGAGUUUAUACGUAAGUGACCAUUCGUUAGGGAGUAACAUUUCCUUGUCCAGACAAACGAAGGAAGAGGCUCUGACACUUGCCUGCGAUGUAUAAUUGCACCUGACUCAUUAACUGGACAUUGCAAUGCUCGGGAGACUGAAGCAAGGUUCAGCUGCUUGUAAUGAGAAUGGAUCCACUAAGCCCUGUGAGAACGGCAGGUCUGUGGGCCACAGGGGGUCCACUUCGUGCUACUCAACACUCAGCUCAGGAAGCAUCUAUCUACCUACCAACCAGACCAUUGCUCAGACGGUCAGGUGCAUUCGGGGAAUUUUCACCUCCCCCGCCAGCACUGUAAUGGCAGGUGCAGAGCAGACCUGGUCAGUUCCUCCAUUUGGGUCCUGUGUCGAUGCUGACUGUCCUUCAGAAGGUCUGUGCAGCUUUGCUGCCUGAGGACACCCUGUGUGCAGUGCCCUUUUCCCUAGGUGUACGUGGAAAGGAGGUUGUACAAAGACCCAGAGAGUAGAGGCUCUGAUUUGUGGUGUUCUCAAGGGCAAGCCUGCACCUUGACAGCUUCCAGGUGUUGAGAAUCAAGUUCUUCGGAGUCACCAUCUCUUGUCCUUUUCAACUAUGCAAGCCACAAUCCUGCCAUCUGGCCUUGGGGCAGAAUCGAAAGAGAACUCUGCCUGAAGACCCAAGGCAGACGACGACUCACAUUUAUAUUAAAUGAUGAAGAAACAGAAGUGCCAAGAACGUUAGUGAUUUGUCCAGGGAACCAUAGAAGUAAAGCGAGGGUUGUAAUUCAAGCCUUCCAACUGAAGUUCGUGUUUGGGGAGCACGUCCAGUAGGAGCAGCUCUCUUGGCUCCCAGCUUGGGACUUCAGAGACUACACCUGUUGUUCUGGACUGCAGCUGGAAUUGGAAAGGAAAUUUAUUUCCAUGAAUGGAGAAGUGUCAGAGUGAGCAGGCACGUGGCAGCGGAAGCAUGGGAAUAGUCUCACGAGAAUAAUGUCAAAGCACAAUGAUUGUCAGAGACUUUAGAAGAUAAACCAACCAAACAAACCUAUAGAAGUUACAUGUGCUGUUAGUGCAGAAGCUUCCAGAUGGAUGCAAGAAUCAAAGCCUUCAAGAAGCUCAUGUAAUUGGCACUUGGAACAUGUCUAUAUUAAUUUGCAUGGACCAUAAAAGCAAUCUUAUCUAGAAUCUUCCAUUUACAGCCCUUGUUAUUUUCUCCCUUCAUUUUCACCUCUUCUCUUCUGCCUGGCUUCCUAACUCCUGGGUAUCUGUCUCUGGUACAUCUGUAGCUUCUCAGCUAGGAGGUUUAUGGGGUGUCAGAUGCCUACAUAUCAAGAACUCUUCCUGUCUCUGGGAAUUAGAUGUUAAGAGACAGAAAACAGGGCACAAUACCACGUACACCUUAGCUCUGAGUUAGAUCAUCUGAAAGCUAUGUUCCUGGACCUCGUUAUCUUGGCUUCCCACAGAAAAGCAUCCAACAAAUUAAGAUUUAAUAUCAUGUCUCCAGCUUUUAUGGAGGGCAGCUGACACAGAAAUGUACUUGUGAAGAACAAAGCUGGGUAUUUUACAAAACCAUAGCGGCGGAUUUUAUCAUGUCACCCAAAGUCCUUUUUAUAAGAAUCUGUAAGACUUUUGAUUCUCUAAGUGAACAUUAUAUUGAGAGCGACAAGUAUAUCCCAUACAAUUACAAGGGACUCAGGGCUGAAUUUGGCUUCCAAUGGCAGCAUCUGUCAUAUCCUGGUGACUGGUGGCAUCCAUUUAUUUGUUCCUUUCAACCGAUUUUGAUUCCGUUUUUAUUAUUUAUUUUUCUGUUGUAUAUUGUGGUUAAUUUUCUAAGUUGCCUCCGAUGUUUACAGAUAUGUGUGCAUGUGUUUUUGCCUACUUACCUACCCAUCUACCUACCUACCUACAUACCUAUCUGUUUACUUACAUACCUACCUGUCAUCCCAGCUAUGUGUGUGGUACGUAUCUCCAUCAGCCUGGACUUCAUUAAAGUAACUGAGUUGUUUUUC